AGAGUUUGAUCAUGGCUCAGGAUGAACGCUAGCGACAGGCUUAACACAUGCAAGUCGAGGGGCAGCGGGGAGUAGCAAUACUUCGCCGGCGACCGGCGCACGGGUGAGUAACACGUGUGCAACCAACCCCGUACCGGGAGAUAACCCGCGGAAACGUGGACUAACAUCCCAUAAGACUCUAGAGCCGCAUGGCUUUGGAUUUAAAAUUCCGGUGGUACGGGACGGGCACGCGCGACAUUAGGUAGUUGGCGGGGUAAGGCCCAC
rnacentral:rRNA from 1 species